UACGAAGGGGGCUAGCGUUGCUCGGAAUCACUGGGCGUAAAGGGUGCGUAGGCGGGUCUUUAAGUCAGGGGUGAAAUCCCAGAGCUCAACUCUGGAACUGCCUUUGAUACUGGGUAUCUUGAGUAUGGAAGAGGUAAGUGGAAUUGCGAGUGUAGAGGUGAAAUUCGUAGAUAUUCGCAGGAACACCAGUGGCGAAGGCGGCUUACUGGUCCAUUACUGACGCUGAGGUGCGAAAGCGUGGGGAGCAAACAGGG
rnacentral:rRNA from 1 species